rnacentral:rRNA from 1 species
AUGGCCGGUGGUAGUUCUGCUGCAGAAGGUGACAAGGCGAAGGUGGUGACCAUCCUGAGCAUCGACGGCGGCGGCGUGAGAGGGAUCAUCCCGGCCACCGUCCUCGCCUUCCUCGAAAAGGAGCUCCAGAAACUGGACGGGCCGGAUGCUAGGAUCGCGGACUACUUCGAUGUCGUCGCCGGCACGAGCACGGGCGGCCUCUUGACGGUGAUGCUCGCGGCGCCGGACAAGGAUGGGCGGCCGCUGUUCGACGCCAAGGAUCUGGCCAAGUUCUACAUCGACGAGUCGCCCAAGAUCUUCCCUCAGAACUGCAGGGGCUCCAUCUUCUCCAAGAUCGGCUCGGCUCUGGCUCUGGCGACGGGGCCCAAGUACGACGGCAAGUACCUCCAUUCGCUGCUCCGUCAGCACCUCGGCGACACCAAGCUGGACGGGGCUCUGACCCAUGUGGUCAUCCCGGCAUUCGAUAUCGCGUACCUGCAACCCACCAUCUUCUCCAGCUUCCAGUUGGAGAACCAGCCCGCCAAGAACGCGCUCCUGUCGGACAUCGCCAUCGGCACCUCCGCCGCACCCACCUUCUUCCCGGCGCACUACUUCGAGACCAACGACGGCAAGGGCGGCACGAGGGCCUUCAACCUCAUCGACGGCGCCGUGGCCGCCAACAACCCUACUCUAUUGGCGAUGAACCAGGUGGCGGAGCACAUGGUCCUCGCCGGGCAGCAGCCGGCGGGCAAGUCAUACAUAGUCAUCUCCAUCGGCUGUGGGACAUCAUCGCUCCCAAAACUCAAGUACAGCGCCAAGGAUGCCGCCAAGUGGGGCAUCUUGAGCUGGCUCAUCAAGGACGGCUCCGUCCCCAUCCUCGACAUGUUCAACGCCGGUAGCGCCGACAUGGUCGACUUCCACCUCUCCGUCCUCUCCGCCGUCCUCGGCUCCUCCCACCAGUACCUGCGCAUCCAGUAUGAUAAACUGAGCGGGAGCGCCGGCUCGAUCGACGACUGCUCCAAGGCCAACUUGGAUAAGUUGGUGAAGAUUGGUGAAGAGCUGCUCAGCGAGAAGGUGUCCGGGGUGGACCUGGAGACCGGCCGGAAUGUGGAGGUGCCCGGCGGGGGCACCAACGCGGAGGAGCUAGCCAAGUAUGCAAGGCAGCUCUCCGACGAGCGGCGCAGACGCCGCAACAAUUAA